rnacentral:rRNA from 1 species
UACGUAGGGCGCAAGCGUUGUCCGGAAUUAUUGGGCGUAAAGAGCUCGUAGGCGGCUUGUCACGUCGGAUGUGAAAGCCCGGGGCUUAACCCCGGGUCUGCAUUCGAUACGGGCUAGCUAGAGUGUGGUAGGGGAGAUCGGAAUUCCUGGUGUAGCGGUGAAAUGCGCAGAUAUCAGGAGGAACACCGGUGGCGAAGGCGGAUCUCUGGGCCUUACCUGACGCUGAGGAGCGAAAGCAUGGGGAGCGAACAGA